rnacentral:rRNA from 1 species
UACGUAGGUUGCGAGCGUUAUCCGGAUUUAUUGGGCGUAAAGAGGGCGCAGACGGUUCUCCAAGUCGGAUGUAAAAUCUCCCAGCUUAACUGGGAGGGACCAUUCGAUACUGGUGGACUUGAGGACAACAGAGGGAGGUAGAAUUCCCGGUGUAGUGGUGAAAUGCGUAGAUAUCGGGAGGAAUACCAGUGGCGAAGGCGGCCUCCUGGGUUGUUUCUGACGUUUAAGCCCGAAGGUGUGGGGAG